AGUGGCGGACGGGUGAGUAACACGUGAGAAUUUGCCUUUAGGAGGGGGAUAACAAUCGGAAACGAAUGCUAAUACCCCAUAUGCUUUUGAGUGAAAUGGAUUUAUCCGCCUAAAGAGAAGCUCGCGGCUGAUUAGCUUGUUGGUGAGGUAAGAGCUUACCAAGGCGACGAUCAGUAUCUGGUUUGAGAGGACGAUCAGACACACUGGAACUGAGACACGGUCCAGACUCCUACGGGAGACAGCAGUGGGGAAUUUUCCGCAAUGGGCGAAAGCCUGACGGAGCAAUACCGCGUGAGGGAAGACUGCCUAUGGGUUGUAAACCUCUUUUUUCAGGGAGGAACAAAAUGACGUGUACCUGAAGAAUAAGCAUCGGCUAACUCCGUGCCAGCAGCCGCGGUAAGACGGAGGAUGCAAGUGUUAUCCGGAAUCACUGGGCGUAAAGCGUCUGUAGGUGGUUUAAUAAGUCAACUGUUAAAUCUUGAGGCUCAACUUCAAAAUCGCAGUCGAAACUAUUAGACUAGAGUAUAGUAGAGGUAAAGGGAAUUUCCAGUGGAGCGGUGAAAUGCGUAGAUAUUGGAAAGAACACCGAUGGCGAAAGCACUUUACUGGGCUAUUACUAACACUCAGAGACGAAAGCUAGGGUAGCAAAUGGGAUUAGAUACCCCAGUAGUCCUAGCCGUAAACUAUGGAUACUAGA
rnacentral:rRNA from 1 species